AGAGUGGUAGAGUGGUAGUGCAUGCUUCAUGUGUGUGUUGUCCUGGGUUCAAAUCCCAGCUGCUCCC